CCACCCCCACCCUGCCACAGCUUCGGGACGACUGGAUCGCCGCGCCUGGGCCGGAGCGAGCCAUCUGCGGGCACUAUGCAAAGCGGGAGACGGCGCGAGCGGCGCCCGGCUCACACUAGCUCUUCCAGGACGCAGAGAGAACCAUUCUCUGCUUUCAAUAGGACAGAAGAGCUCCUUGGCACUGGAUGCCUCCGGGUCUGGUUGAGAGAGGAAUGGUUAGGAGACUGUUCUGAGGAUACGCAGACAUCAUCCAAAGCUUCCUACAUUCAGAUGAGGACAGAGGUUGGGCCAGAGCUUUGUAAGCUUGUUACCUAAGGAUGGUUCUGACCAUGUAAGCAGAUCACAGAAGCACUGUUCACAAUAGCAAAGACUUGGAACCAAUCCAAAUGCCCAUCAAUGAACACCUGGAUAAAGAAAAUGUGGCACAUACACAGCAUGGAAUACUAUGCAGCCAUAAAUAAGGAUGAAUUCAUGUCCUUUGCAGGGACAUGGAUGAAGCUGGAAAACAUCAUUCUCAGCAAACUAAGGCAAGAACAGAAAACGAAACACCGCAUGUUCUCACUCAUAAAUGGGAGUUGAACAAAGAGAACACAUGGACACAGGGAGGGGAAUAUCACACACCGGGGCCUGUCAGGGGGUGGAGGUCUAGGGGAGGGAGAGCAUCAGGACAAAUACCUAAUGUAGAUGACAGGUUGAUGGGUGCAGCAAACCACCUGGCAUGUGU
rnacentral:lncRNA from 10 species